UCAAAACUUGGAGCUUUCAGACAGUUGUUGGAGAUUUUAUUUUAUGGAACAUAUGUACUUGUUUUUGAAACAAAUGGAGUCCUUGUCUGAAAGGUCCUGUGGGUACAGGCCUGCUGCCCAGCGCAGAGUAACCAGCUGAGUGGUUAAGAUGAGGAGGGCUGGCUCCGGGUUAGUCCGUCUCUCCGCCACGUCCUGCUGCCUAUUGAAGAUUUUACUCUCUCGUGGUCUUCAAACUUCCACUCAGUUGAUUCGCCUGCCAAGCACAGUGACCAGUGCGGCCGCUCCUGAUGGUGGGAGCAUAUGGUACCGCUGGGAAUAGUUUCGCUCUGAGUGCUGUGAAAUCCCACGCCUUCCUACAGAAUGUGUUUGGAGGAGCAAAUGUCACGGGACACACUGUGAGACAGCCAUGUGUCAUUGCUACACAUAACUCUGACCCGGGAACUGCAUCGUCUUCUUAGACACAAAGACCAACAACAUACUGACCUCAAGAAGCCCACAGGUCAA